GGCCGCUUGCUGGAACAGGUAGACAGACCGGACUUAAAAUCCGAGGCCUUCGGGCGUGUGGGUUCGAGUCCCACAGCGGCCACCA
rnacentral:tRNA from 1 species